UACGAAGGGUGCAAGCGUUACUCGGAAUUAUUGGGCGUAAAGAGCUCGUAGGCGGUUUGUUGCGUCGGCCGUGAAAACCUGCAGCUUAACUGUGGGCCUGCGGCCGAUACGGGCAGACUUGAGUUCGGUAGGGGAGACUGGAAUUCCUGGUGUAGCGGUGAAAUGCGCAGAUAUCAGGAGGAACACCGGUGGCGAAGGCGGGUCUCUGGGCCGAUACUGACGCUGAGGAGCGAAAGCGUGGGGAGCAAACAGG
rnacentral:rRNA from 1 species